rnacentral:misc_RNA from 1 species
GUGGGAUGUAAAAAGCAGCUUGUGGUUUCACUUCGAGUGCCUCAUGCCAUUCCUGAAGUGAUGUUAAUGGAUAAUUCUAGUGAAGUGGAGUUAAAGCAAUUGCCUUCUGGGAUGCAUUGCUUGAAACUUUAUGAAUCGGACUUGGUAAAUUCACUAUUCAAGUGGAAUGGUCUUCUCUCUUCUUUAGAAGAAAUCCAAUUGUAUGGUUGUGAUAUGGAGUACUUCCCGUUGGAGUUUUUCCCCAAUCUACAGAGACUUGAAAUCUGUGAGUGUUCAUAUUUAAAAUCCCUCGGUGCAUCUCAGCAAAUUGAAGGAGAAAGCAGUUCCUGCCGUAACUUAGUAUCUUUUGGCAAAGGAGAAUCACCUGCCCCAAAAUUGACUAAGCUUUUCUUAGAAGAUUGCGUAAAUUUGAAGUCACUGCCUGAAUGUAUAGGCUCUCACCCUUCCCUUGUGAAAUUGGAAAUUA